AAAUCACCAAAAUCUCAAAAAUAAAUCAACAAAUUUACAAACCAAUCCAACUAAUCCACAAAAAUCAAAAAGAGAUUAAAGUUCACCAUCCAAAAAGUAAAAAAUUCAAUUGAAGCUCAAAAUUUUCACAAUCAAAUCUGAAAUUAAUUUUAAAAAUAGCAAUUGGAUUUGGUGUUGUAGCCAUUGUACGAAGUUCCAUGCGUGUAGUCUCUCGAUGCUAAUAGUAGUGGUACACCAUAGUGUGGUGCUUGGGAUGCAUCAGUAGUCAUCGAAAACGUUGACGAGUUUAGAUCAGCUGAGCCAAUGAGCGGCUUUGUGCUUUCCUUAGCAUCAACGUAAAUGAUGUCAAUGUAGAGGGUGUGGUUCUCAAUUAGGCCAAGCAGUAAGGGGAUGAUAAGGGUUUGAUCCACCAAGUGUAGCUAAAUUUUUUUUUUCUUGGUUCUACGAUCAGUGGUAAAUCCCUUAUGAUGUACCAGAUCUGACUCGGUAAUGGCAUGGAGAGCAGUGGUCGUGGGGUUGGGGUUGUAAUAUCAAAAGGGAGUUAGGAGUUGUUGGGCUGGCGACAGAGAGAUUUGUGACAUUUGAGAAGGGAUGGAGGGUUUUGUUGGUUUGCAAUAGGGUGGAAGGAGGAAGAGUUGCAAGGCGGUCGGACGGUGGAAAAUCGGCAAAAAUACUAAAAGGGCAUUCUUGGUAUUUUAGUAAUUUUUUUAAUCACUGAUUAAUUCCUUAACUUUUAAUGAAAGGAUAACAUUAUUAUUAGUAUUAGUAUUAUUAUUUAUCGAAAUGUUGUGGCUUCAAAAAUGAAAAUGCAGUAAAGCCCAGUUACAACUUGCAAGAGGUUAAAAAAAGGCCUAAUUAGCAGGCAUAAUUCUAAUAAAGUUCAGCCUAUGAUACCAACCGAAGCCCACAACUCAAAAGCUAGAAACCUACACGCCUGGCCCAUCAAACACCCGAGACCAUAUCUAAUAACUUUAGCUAGGGCAAGGGAUAACCCAGAGCAAAACAGCGGAAAGCCAUGGAAGCGCCACCACCAACUCCACUGAGCAGUCACAGGGAAUCUACACAUGCCGAGGAGUACAUGAGUCCCAUGCAAGGCUAAGUCAAAUCAAAGAGACCCCAAAAAGCCAUCCCUAGCAACAAUGAGUGAGCCAAACCAGGAACCAAUCUGUCUAGUAAGGUACUAAAUCACAUAUACCACUCUUCCAUCCAUUUAAAUCAUAAUCAAAAGCUCCUCCAAACUGAAGAGUGCAAAGGAGAGUUGAGGAUCAUAGCUUCACCCAGCUGAAAUUCCAUCGAAAUCCAGUAAAUUUGAAGGCAAUACGAGUUCAAUUGUUGCUUUGGGAAAGGAUUUAGGUGUUAUUUUUUGUUGAGAUUAGUUGGAUUUUAGCUACGUUUCAUGGCUUGCUGCUGAAAUCCUCUCUUCCUCCCAUAUACUUCAAUUCUUCUUCUUCCCUUUCUUUUUCGGAUUCUUCCCUUCUUUUAUUUUUUCUUUCGGCUAGAGAGGACAUUCACGUGGCCAAAAUGAGCGAGAGAAAUACAACCAGCUGUUUCUAUAAAACAAAAUUCAUUUUGAUCCUUUCUUCUUUUCAAAGUUCUAUUUUUCAACGUCAACAUUUCUUAUCUUCGCUUAUAAGUUCAAUUUGAUAUUAAACUUCCCCCCACCACUCCUAUAAAUUGAAUAUCAAUUUUCUAUAAAUUCAACUAGAUUAUUUUCAAAAAUUGGGCAUUACAUUUUAAGAAAUAACUUUCAUUUCUGAACCACAACUAAUUUUUACAUCUUCGUUUCCCCCAUGAUUAACAGCCUUGUAGAGUUUGUCCGUCCCCAUUAGUUAAAAACAAUUUUUUGAAAAUUACUAGGUUUUCUAAACUAACCAUUAAUCUGUUAUGACAGAAUGCAUAUGGCACCUGAGCUUGC
rnacentral:misc_RNA from 1 species